rnacentral:rRNA from 1 species
AGCAGCCGCGGUAAUUCCAGCUCCAAUAGUGUAUAUUAAAGUUGUUGCAGUUAAAAAGCUCGUAGUUGAAUUUCGGGGUCAGUAGAUUGGUCGUGCCACUGGUAUGCACUGGUCUUACUGGCUCCUCCUUCCUGAUGAACCGUAAUGCCAUUAAUUUGGUGUUGCGGGGAAACAGGACUGUUACUUUGAAAAAAUUAGAGUGUUUAAAGCAAGCUAACGCUUGAAUACAUUAGCAUGGAAUAAUGAAAUAGGACGAUCGAUCCUAUUUUGUUGGUUUCUAGGAUUUGACGUAAUGAUUAAUAGGGAUAGGUUGGGGGCAUUAGUAUUCAAUUGUCAGAGGUGAAAUUCUUGGAUUUAUUGAAGACUAACUACUGCGGAAGCAUUUGCCAAGGAUGUUUUCAUUAAUCAAGAACGAAAGUUAGGGGAUCGAAGACGAUCAGAUACCGUCGUAGUCUUAACCAUAAACUAUGCCGACUAGGGAUCGGAUGAUGUUAAUUUUAUAAUGACUCAUUCACG